CAGUUGCAGGGUCCCAUUCUGGGGACACUCCUAAUGACCCACUUUCUGCCCUGAGACCCUGGCUCCUAAAGGUUCCAGGACCACCCCCCCACCCCCGCCCAGUGUUGCUACAGAAUGGGGACAAAGCCUUUAUCACAUCAUUCUAGGAGACCAACCAGAUCCAGACUAUGGCAUCACUCAAACAUGGCAAAUGUCAAAUUACUUACUGAAAGGAUCAAACCAAGUGAUAUGAAACUGCAUUUUCCAGCUUUUUAUUUUCUGUGUCUAGAGAUGGUUCUCCAGUAUCUCCUUUAUGUUUGCCUAUCUUCAGGACAGAGGCACAGCAGCCUCUGCUCAGGAUGGGCUUUCCUAGGCUAUGUGUGUAGAGCUCUCCUAGAAGACUGAGACAGCACCUCCUGCCCAAGCAAAGGGCAAUCUUGCUGCCAUUAAAAAGACUCAAGUUUCCUAAGUUCUGAACCCUCUAACAUCUUAAAAUGUAUACAACCAUAGCACUAAACCCACUGGCGUAACUUCUUGGGAGAAAGAAAACAGAGCCAAAUACGCUGAUGCUUGUGCUGCUUGCUGCACUGAGUAAUGAAAUCUUUUGUCUUUGACUAGGAGUCUCAUUUCCAUCAGCAUCAAUGAAACUGAGGACAAUAUGAACCCAAGAAGAAUCUCUACACCAGUGGUGGCAAAGUUAUAAAGAAGUGCCAGUGAGGUACAAGUCACAUUUAAAACACAGAAGCAGCUGUCAGAUGUACCACACAAGCCUAAGGAGAAUACUGCUAGGUGCAGACACCAUGAGCUAUAGAACAGCCACAGAGAACCAACCCAGCCCUGCUUGCCACUCUCCUAGAACCUACUUCCAGCUUCCUCCGCAUCACAACUCUCCCAAGGGCUCAGGCAGAGCAGCAGCCUACAGGCAAUGGAGAAGGCAGACACAGACACCCACUUUCAUUUGUAGACAUCAAAUGCAAAACACAUAAAUGACUCGAAGGUGAGCGGCAAAAACAGACGCCACGAGCACACCACCCAAGCAGCAUCCAGGAGAAACUGGUGAUCUCUGCUGGGCCGACUGCUGGGAGCUGGUGUGUGGAGGCCACCCAACUGCGAGUAUUUGAUGCUGUCACCCUGCCGGACCUCAGGCUACCAACAUGAUGUCACUGAACACAGAGAAGAACAUGAGUCACGGCUGUGCCAAUGAAGAGGAAAUGUUCUUUGUUGUGUACUAUUAGAAAGAAAAGAGUUCUUAGAAGAUCGAUAUAUAAACAAAAUCAAUAAUAAAAAGUAUCAACACUCCUUUGCAUGCUAA